rnacentral:hammerhead_ribozyme from 1 species
AUUCAGUUGACGAGUCCAAAAUUAGGACGAAAGACGUGUCCUGGAU